AAUUGAAAUACUUUUAGCUUAGAAAAGAGCAGAGCAGAGGGUAACUAGCUCAGAAUUUUCAGUUGGUGGCAUGUAUUUAUGAGAUGGAAAAGUCUAUGUCUGAGAGGGGACAGAGGCUUAUCUUCUAGAGUGGAAAGGAGAAGGGGAUGGAAGAAUCACUGAAGAAAAGGUCACCUGGAAAUGAAGUGACUACUAAUUAAGAAUUGAAGAAGUGUGGGUCUGCUGUCUCAUUAUG
rnacentral:lncRNA from 1 species